rnacentral:SRP_RNA from 1 species
AUUCACUGUUAUCUGAGCAGAGGUCGGGUUGUUGGAGAAGGUGUUCAGACAUCGUGUGGGGCCCUGGAAACACGGAUCGUGAUCCGCCCAGGCUAGCCCGCAGCCUCUGGAGGCGAUCCCACGGAGGUGGUAUCGUCUCCAUGGAUAAUGAAGCGCGGAACGCCUCCGGCUGGAAACAGAGCAGGGAAAAGCGCUCGCUGAGGAUCAGUGACGGGAUUACGCUGAGUGUUAUCGUCGAGGUU